UGUAACUUUCUUCUUCCAGAUAGAAGUCAAUGCCAGGAGAAGACGAAGAAUAAGAAGAGGAACUGGCGCCGCAUGCGGCAGCCUCAAAGGGAUCCUCCACACGCCCAUCUGUCUCCGCUCCGCCCCAAUGCUCGCACACCGUAUACAUCAUACAUGGUACUGAGUAGAGAAGACGAGAGACACAGAGUUAGAACCAGCAAUAAACGGUGCCUACGGCAUAUUUCAACGUUGAGGUUCCAGCAGUGGUAAAAUAAAAGCGCGAAAGGACCAAAAAGCCAGGAGAGGGUGUAUCCAUACACGUGUAUACUUUAGCUGUGCUCCCUGAGGCAAGAGUGAAUUCGUUGGUCCCAAACUCUAAGAAAUCCCUUUGGCACUGGAUGGAGCCAAGGACCACAAGGGCCGAUUACGUAUAAAAAAUAUUCGUUUGGCCAAAAAGUUAAGAGUGGCGUGACAGCCGAAGGCUGACAGGCAGAUGCAUAGCAACGAGUUGACAUCGCACGCUGCGGGCUAGCGUGGGUCGUAUGGGUUAUUCUUUCUCUUCUUCACCACGCACGAACCCACUGGAUAGAACUCACGCACGUCCAUCCGUGUUUGCAGCACGCACAUAGGGAACCAUCUCCCUUUCUUUUCUCUCUUUUCAUAUAGUGUCUUCAUGAGGAGGAAGAGAAAAAGGCAGUGGCAAUGACGAUGUCGUGAUCCGUUGCUCGAUCGAAUGUCUCUUAGAAGGAUGCGUGAGUGCUUGGAGGCUAAUGCGGGUCUAGUCGUCACUUCCGGUUCUCACGAGAAGUCCCGAGUGCCUCUAGCUAGGAGUGAAGGUACACGCUCAUGUACAACUAAUAAUAGCGAGUGGGUUGAAGAGAUAGUCGACUAGCUGGUGUGUGGUAGCAGCAGAGUAUGUAAGACCAAGGAAAAAGACUAGAGGAUUGGUCGAUGAUGAGGAGGAGGUGAAGUAGAGAGUGUAAAUUGCCUAGCGGCUUGAUCAACCAUCAGAUAAGGUUCUAGAGUCAACAAGUUGUCUUUUCUACAGCAAAGAUUGACCAAGCAUGAUGUGACUGUCGACCUAAUUGCUCCAACUGCGUCAACACACUGUACACAAGGAAAGUCUGCCAAGCGCUUUAAAGUACAGGUGAACAAGUUUUGCACAAGGACACUUUUGACAAAGAUGUCAAGGUUAGCACUUGGUCACACUAGUCCUCUGGGCAAACAUUUAAGAUGCAGGUUUUGUUGUUGCAAGAUUCCAGAGAUAACACACGAUUCAAACAGUUCAGCAAGGUGAUAUGCAGGUUUAUAAAAGCUGAUGCAGCAUUGGGGAAAAUAUUGCCCCCGAUUAGUCUACUUAUAGAUUAAUCUUCAAGAGUUUUCGUCUCAAGAGUUCUCAGCGAAAUCCUUCACUGAUCUGUGUAAACACGUGAGACAAGAAAGUUGGUAGAAAA